rfam:Rattus norvegicus chromosome 9, whole genome shotgun sequence.
GGGAAUUUAGCUCAGCGGUAGAGCGCUUGCCUGGCAAGCUCAAGGCCCUGGGUUCGAUUCCCAGUUCCG